GAUGAACGCUGGCGGCGUGCCUAACACAUGCAAGUCGAGCGAACAGACGAGGAGCUUUCUCCUCUGACGUUAGCGGCGGACGGGUGAGUAACACGUGCAUAACCUACCUAUAAGACUGGGAGAAUAUCGGGAAACCGGAGCUAAUACUGGAUAAUAUAUUCAACCGCAUGGUUCAAUAGUGAAAGACGGUUUUCCUGUCUCAUAUAGAUGGAGCCGCGUCGCAUUAGCUAGUUGGUAAGGUAACGGCUUACCAAGGCGACGAUGCGUAGCCGACCUGAGAGGAUGAUCGGCCACACUGGAACUGAGACACGGUCCAGACUCCUACGGGAGGCAGCAGUGGGGAAUCUUCCGCAAUGGGCGGAAGCCUGACGGAGCAACGCCGCGUGGGUGAAGAAGGUCUUCGGGUCGUAAAACUCUGUUAUUAGGGAAGAACAAAAGUGUAAGUAACUAUGCACGUCUUGACGGUACCUAAACAGAAAGCCACGGCUAACUACGUG
rnacentral:rRNA from 1 species